rnacentral:rRNA from 1 species
CCUACGGGGGGCUGCAGGCGCGAAAACUUUACAAUGCUGGAAACAGCGAUAAGGGGACCUCGAGUGCCAGGUUACAAAUCUGGCUGUCGUGAUGCCUAAAAAGCAUUGCAUAGCAAGGGCCGGGCAAGACCGGUGCCAGCCGCCGCGGUAACACCGGCGGCUCGAGUGGUAACCGUUAUUAUUGGGUCUAAAGGGUCUGUAGCCGGCCGGAUAAGUCUCUUGGGAAAUCCAGCAGCUCAACUGUUGGGCUUUCAGGAGAUACUGUCUGGCUCGAGGCCGGGAGAGGUGAGAGGUACUUCAGGGGUAGGGGUGAAAUCUUGUAAUCCUUGAAGGACCACCAGUGGCGAAGGCGUCUCACCAGAACGGACCUGACGGCAAGGGACGAAAGCUAGGGGCACGAACCGGAUUAGAUACCCUUGUAGUC